GUAGAUAUAAUUUAACAAAAAUGCUAGAUUGUGAUUCUAGAAAUAAAGGUUAAAUCCCUUUUAUUUACC
rnacentral:tRNA from 2 species